GAGAAAUGGUGGCAACUCAUUGAAGUUUGUGUCAUACUAAACAAAAGGCUGCUGUGGGAUGAAGUUGGUAACUCUGUGUAACGGUGUAAUCUGGUAGGUUUACCUGUAUUUAAAUUCCCUGAUUUCUUGUUUUUUUUCUGUGUUUUAAUAUCUCAGGAGAGUCUAACAUGGCAGAGAAAGCUCUUCGUAACACAGCAGCAGGUUCUCUCUCGGAGCCUGGAGAAUCUGCUAAGUAUCAGGACGUCUCCUGUUUCCUACAGAGCCUGACUGAUCGAUAUGUACUCAGCACUGAGUGGUGCAGCCAGGAAUUACUCAAAUGCAACUACAACUGAUACUUGGUAGAAUGCAUCAAAUGUUCACGAGGGACAAAAUCACCACAAUGAACAUGGACAUUGAGAAGAUUGUGACCACAGUAUCACAGAAAGUCAUCGUUCCAAAAGUUUGUGAAGUUCUGAAUGUGGAUGCCAGGCUGUUUUUCCUUGCAAGACCAGGAUCCUGAAACCGUUCUUUGGAGUCAGUCAUCAAAGAAGUUUUGAAUGCCAUCGUGAAGAUCAUCCUUGACGCUCUUGAUGAUUCUCACGUGUAAGCUUCGUAAAAAUGUGACAGAAAAGACUGAGCUCCUGGCGUCUUCAUGUGGGUCAGCUGAGCUCCGUAAUUUGUCACUGUCUGUUGAGCCCAGUGCUGCGAACCUGACGUCCAAAGACCAGGCACAACUUCAGGAAUGUGCUAAAGAUGUAAUUCUUGAGGUUUACACCAUCUAUCAGGCCAAAGAACUCAAGAGUGCAUCGGAUUUGUCUUGCCCUCCAAAGAUGUGUGCGACAGAUUUUGCAGAACGUUUGCUAUCAGAGCUGGUUGACAUGGCAACGUCCUCUCUGAGUUCAUCGAUCAGUGAUGAUAUCAGCUCUGAUCCAGCCUGUGGUGCAAGCGACAGCAUGGCUGAUAAAUCCCUCAAAAGAGCUAAGUCCUGUCAUAGAAUCCCCAGCCUUAUGAAACUCACAAAUAUGGCUUGCAAGAUGGAGACUUCCGUUCCUGGACAAACUCUGAGGAACGCGUCCUUGUAUGCCAAAAUCAUUGUGGAUGAGCUGUUAGUCCAACUGGACUCAUUUACAAAGUCCGAGGUAUCUGAGGAUGCUCAGUCAGUACUUGGACAAUGUACCUCUGAUACAUCUCU